AACGUUAAAAAAAUUCAUGGCGAGAAAAAAAAUUUAAGGAUCAUAUGCGAAGUUGAGAAUUUUCUAAGUCCAACACAUGGGAAAGGGGUAUGCACGGAAACAGAGGGGGGAGGGUGGUGUGAAAUACUAGCAAGUGUGUAGGUGGCCUUGAAACAUUCCUCAGUCCAAGUUCCACAUUUUAGCGGGUAACGUACGAAAAGGGGAGCAAAAGAAACGGUAAAACUAAGUGCGUGGGUGUGUGGGGAAUGCUAUAGCGUUGGUGCUGACGUUUGGGCGUGGCACAUUGUAGUGGCAUUAUCGAAAUACCGAAUCUAUGGAAAGUUUUCUAUAACUUUACUUUAUGAAAUAUUCAAAUAUCGACAUCAUUACUGAUUGGUUUUACAAAUCAUUCUUUUGGUUUUACGGAGUCGUUUUGAUUGUUUGUAAAGUGAAAGAUAAGCGAAAAAUAUGAAGAAAGGAAAAGAAGUGAAAGAAGAGUAUAGGAGGCGGAAUAGGAGAAGAAUUCUGGACUAAAGGAUUACUACGAGAUGGAAUGACAUGCUUGAAUAUACGCAUUGAUUGUACCCCACGCAAAGAUAGUUGGUUAGCAAGCUUGCUUGCGAUGCGUGGGUACUCGGGUUCAAAUCCCGGGGGAAGCUUGUAAAAGGGAACAAAUGUGCGUCGGCUCCAAUGUACGGAAGGUGGGUCGCGGUGGUUUACCAUCGUGGCCUUUCCACCCCCUUCUUGUACAUGGUCGCCUCGCGCUCUUCUCAGCUGUCAAUUCCGUUGGCCGAGUAACUCUUGUGGGUGGCAAGAGUUGGCUGGCAGAAUUGACUACUGACGAUGGAGAUUUGUUCCUUUCUGGCUAGGGGAGAGUCUGGCGCUGGACUCAAUCCGUGUGCGAACGGCUUUU